rnacentral:RNase_P_RNA from 1 species
UUGUGCGGUCGCGGGGUAUAUCCGUGAGGAAAGUCCGAGCAUCACAGAGCAGGAUAGCUGUUAACGGCAGCCGGAGGCGACUCCAGGGCAAGUGCAACAGAAAUAUACCGCAUUUUUUAAGUGUAAGGGUGGAAAGGCGAGGUAAGAGCUCACCGUAGACCGGGUGACCGAGUCUACCUGUAAACCCUAUCCGAUGCAACGCCGAUUGGUUCCGGGAGUAAGCCGCUUGCUCGGCGGUCCCGGAUUAAGGCGGCUUGAGGCGCGCGGCGACGCGCGGCGUAGAUAGAUGACCGUGCACGACAGAACUCGGCUUACAGAUAA